UACGUACGACAGAUACACUCCGUCUUCUUACCAUAGGUCAUCACCUGGCUUGCCUUCCUGCAGUAAUGAAGAAGAGUCAUUGGUACCGAAUGAAAGCUGUUUUUAUGUUAUUUAUUCUUAUUGAAUUUUGAUUGAGGAGUCAAGUCAAGUCCGGAAGCGUUACAAGACGGAAGGGUCGGCCUACAGUUGAAUAAAACAUUUUAAGCGCAUUAUCUUUGGAAAACGAGUGGAGUAAUGCAAAUUUUCUAAAGAGAAGUAUCAUCGUGCUUUAAUGAAUCGGGAAUGUUUGUCCACUUUGCGCUGAGAGCGUAGGUAAAACUGGGCACUUAAAUUACCCUAAAGACUUUUCGCUACGCUUGCGUUGCAUCAACAAACAUCAUGUAGGGAGUUCCUAGGAUUAAGGAAAUCAUUAACGGCUAAAAGGACACC